rnacentral:lncRNA from 1 species
UCUCGAAUGUGUUCCUCCUUUUAAGACAUAUUCUUUAUGAGAAAACAGGCGUGAACAGAAAGAGUAGAUUCUCUGAUCUCAACUUCAUUUCCGGUAUCAGAUAUUCGAUCCUCCAGUCAUGGUACUGUUGUUUCAACAAUUCACAAGCAAAUAACAAUAUGCUACGACUCUUCAAUUGUCGAAUAACCAGUAGAUUUGCCUGACAUUUUAUCAAUGGUGGAAUCAGGUUCCUUCUCAUGGGCAUCAGAAGCCAACUUGUUUUCUGCAACUGGUGGGAUGAACAAAGAAGCAUGCUCUUAGGUUGAGUCAGGUACAAAUCCUACUGCAUUUCCUUCCAUAGUUUCAGAAGAAAAUCUAGAAUGGGACUUUUAUACUUUGUCAACUGGUCCAUUUCGAAUGAUUCCCUUCAGAACCUUGCUUUCUCUGUUCUGUCUCCUUUUCUGUUCCGGCUCAAAAUUUCAACUGUACGAUGGUGUGAUGCAUUUGAUUCUCAUCUGAAGGAAAGAAAAGAAUUUGUAUGUGAUUCUAUUCAUUUAUCAAGAACAAGCUGAUGGUCAAUCUUGAAACCCAACCAUUCUCAGAUAAUUCAAACUCUACUACAAGUUGAUCGUUCCCUUUUUCGAUUGGAAGUUAUCCUCAGAUACCUUUCAUUUUCAUGAGUAGUUUAUGCACCAAAAUUAUCGAUGACAGUGUUCAGGAAGUAAGGCUCAUCAUGGGAAGUCUUUCUCUUGUAAGGCUUAAUU